UAAUAAUGACGAUGGUGAUAAUGAUGAUGAUGAUGAUCAUCAUCAUCAUCAUCAUUAUCAUCACAAUGU
rnacentral:miRNA from 1 species